AAGUCGAGCGGACCGACGGGAGCUUGCUCCCUUAGGUCAGCGGCGGACGGGUGAGUAACACGUGGGUAACCUGCCUGUAAGACUGGGAUAACUCCGGGAAACCGGGGCUAAUACCGGAUGCUUGAUUGAACCGCAUGGUUCAAUCAUAAAAGGUGGCUUUUAGCUACCACUUGCAGAUGGACCCGCGGCGCAUUAGCUAGUUGGUGAGGUAACGGCUCACCAAGGCGACGAUGCGUAGCCGACCUGAGAGGGUGAUCGGCCACACUGGGACUGAGACACGGCCCAGACUCCUACGGGAGGCAGCAGUAGGGAAUCUUCCGCAAUGGACGAAAGUCUGACGGAGCAACGCCGCGUGAGUGAUGAAGGUUUUCGGAUCGUAAAACUCUGUUGUUAGGGAAGAACAAGUACCGUUCGAAUAGGGCGGUACCUUGACGGUACCUAACCAGAAAGCCACGGCUAACUACGUGCCAGCAGCCGCGGUAAUACGUAGGUGGCAAGCGUUGUCCGGAAUUAUUGGGCGUAAAGCGCGCGCAGGCGGUUUCUUAAGUCUGAUGUGAAAGCCCCCGGCUCAACCGGGGAGGGUCAUUGGAAACUGGGGAACUUGAGUGCAGAAGAGGAGAGUGGAAUUCCACGUGUAGCGGUGAAAUGCGUAGAGAUGUGGAGGAACACCAGUGGCGAAGGCGACUCUCUGGUCUGUAAC
rnacentral:rRNA from 1 species